UUUGGUGGUGCAAUACUGAAAAAUAGGCGCUUUUUUUUUCAAGUUUCCAAGGACCCCAACUCUUUCUUUCCCGUAGACCUCACUCUUCCCUCUCGCCCAUUUCUCCCCCUCUCUCUUUCCCGUAGACCUCUCUCUCCUCUUCUUCGCAAGCUUCAACCCAAAUCUUGAACCCAUACAUGUCUUUCCUCUUCACAAUCUCAAAUCCAACCACCACCACUACUUUGUCGGUUGUCUCUCUCCCUCUCGUUCUAAACAACGGCCCCACCACGCAAUCAAGUCCCAAAAUCAAGUGUAUAGAUGUCGCAGUUGAUCACUCGUCGUCAGAGUGUGACCAAUGUGCCUCCCGCAUUAUUAGCACUGCUCCAGGCGUGAGUGCUCCAUUGAUUGGGGAGCCUACACCCCCUUAAUGAGGCUACUCCUACGAUGUCUCAGGUGCCCGUCUCAUCGACGUCAUUAGUGUUGGUUUAGCUACUCAGUGCACGGCGGCCUCACCGGCGCCGCUGCGAGCAGGAGCCUUCUAAUCACACUUCCUCAACCUCCAGAGUCGAGGGUGAAGCUUCCCAGCUAGGUAGUUUUUUCUAAUUCUCACUACGUUGUAUUUUUUUUUUUUCAUUUUAAAACUAUUAUUUUUAUGAUGGUGAAAAUUUGUUGGAUUGUGAAAAUGUGUUGUGGGUUGUGAAUUACUGUUAUUUUAAUGUUUUAAGGUUUUGGGAAAUGCUAUACUAUUAGGAGAAGUUGUGUCGAAUUUUUUGUACAAAUUUAAGCUUAGGGUUUUCACCAUUUAAGUAUUUUUGGUCAGCUAGAAAAAAAAACCAGGGGGCCUAGUCGAAUGCUGAAGCAGGCACAGAGCGUACGUCAGGCCACCUCUAAGAUCAAGAUUGCAGUAUAACCCGCAACAUCGUGAAGCGGCUACCUCACAGCAACAUAGUAGCGUCGUUAGUAGAUGUGGUGUUGUUAUUCGACAAAAUUGUCCUUUUCAUAUUCGUAGGUCAUUUAUGAUCUUCAGGACAUAUGCCCUGAGGCCAUGGCCUACUUAGAGGAGUCUUUAGCAACCCAGUACAAACAGUGUAAGAACAGUUUUCACACGUAUUUUAAGUGAUGGAAUGAUCCGAAGAUUGCUCGCCUACAUGUUCCAAUUGAGUUACAAGACUGACUGGAGGAUUGGGAAUGGCUCUGCAAACAUUUUACGGACCCAAAAUUUGUGAAGAAAUCUAUUGCUAGCAAGAAAGCUCGGGAAUCAAAGACACUUCUCCACCAUUUCGAUUCGAAGCCCUUUUCGUAUAGGCUUGAGGCACGACAUCAGAAGGUUAUAAGUUUCUAGAGAUCGACCUGUUCAAGGAGGUUUACGUUCGACCUGGUGAUAAGACCACGGAUCAUCAUCAUGCUGCUGUGGUGGAAAAGAGCACUGCUGUUCUCCAAGAAACAACAUCGCAGCUUCCCCGAGAGACCCCGAUCGAGGAUGUCACGGUUCUCAAGGAUGCAGGUUUUCAGAUCCUGACUGGUGUCUUAGAUCAAAGCUUCAAUCGUCAUCAUGGCAAGGUUGUUCGGUGUAUGGGUAAAACGCGGGUUCGCGAGACAUGUGCCUCUUCUUCUAUAUUGAACGCAGCAGAGAUCAAUGCAUUGAAGGAGGAAGUGACAACCCUAAAAGGUUAGCUUGCGGUCCAGGGUGAGGAGAUGAGGGCCCAGGGCGGGGAGAUGAGGACCUAUGCCUGGACGGUGAGAGACCUUGUACGAGCCAUACAGAUGUCUGGCCUCUAAAUCUCACUACCAGCACUUGAUCUUACUCCACCUUUGACCUCAGAGCCACCUCACCUGCUGAUACCCAAUAGCUUGAUGUAUCAAACCUAGAAGACUAAUUAUAGUUUUUCUUUUGUUCGGACAUCUUGUAUGUACAAUUUCAUAUAUUUUAUAACUAAAUACUUUUGCUUGGUUAA